AGAGGGCUUCACCGCCUAUUGCGACCUGACGAACUCCGAAUGCUUAUGUUUUGCAGUAGUGCAGUAAGGGGGCGGGUGCUAAGGUCCGUCCCCGAGAGGAGAAGAAUCCAGACCGUCAUCUAAGGUCCCGAAAUUCUGUCUAAGUUAGUCUAACGAAGUGUGGUCCCCGUGACAGCUAGGAUGUUGGCUUGGAAGCAGCCAUUCAUUCAAAGAGUGCGUAACAGCUCACUAGUCGAGGGUCCGUGCAUGGAUAAUAAUCGGGUAUUAAGUCAGAUACCGAAGGUGCGGGAUAGUAUUGUAUAUAAAAAGUAUCGGUAGGGGAGCAUUCCAUCGGCGCAGAAUAUAGACCGUAAGGUUUGUUGGAGCUUAUGGAAAAGCAAAUGUAGGUAUAAGUAACGAUAAAAAGGGUUAGAUUCCCUUUCGCCGAAAGACCGAGGUUUCCCGGGCGAUGCCAAUCAGCCCGGGGUUAGUCGAGUCCUAAGUCUCAUCCGAACGGAGCAGGCGAUGGCAGAUGAGGUUAAUAUUCCUCAACUUGCUUAUAUAGUGAAGUGGAGACGGAGCAGUGACACUGUCGCGUCCUGACGGACAUGGACGUUUAAUAUUUUAGGCAUUGAUAGGUGCAGGCAAAUCCACACCUUGAGCUGAGAAUA
rnacentral:ncRNA from 1 species